rnacentral:lncRNA from 1 species
UCUCCAGUAAUCAAGGGUUGUGAAAAGUCACCAAGAAAUUGCUUAUUCUAAUACAUUUGCACUUAAUACCAGCACAAGUACAUGGAUCGUCCCUUUCACAUGACAUUGCAUUUUACCCAUUGAUCUCAAAGGAGUACUUGAUAAUUUUUAUUCUUUUUUUUUUUUUUUUUUUUUUUAGAAAGGCAUAUUCAUCCCUUAACUCCCCCAAACUUAAGAUUUACAAACUCUAAGUUCAAAAAGGGAAUACUCCAAACUCUACGCCCGACUCAACGCAAGGACUCAAGAAAUAAGUUAGUCUAAGUCUUAUCUCUAGAGCAUAAGUGUAAUUACAAUUUUCACACAAGUAGUUUUC